AACGAACGCUGGCGGCGCGCCUAAUACAUGCAAGUCGAACGAGAAGGUGUAGCAAUACACUUGUACAGUGGCGAACGGGUGAGGAAUGCAUGGGCAACCUACCCUCGAGUGGGGAAUAACCAGCCGAAAGGUUGGCUAAUACCGCGUACGCUUCCGGGUCUCCGGAUCCGGAAGGAAAGUCACACCGUGGGUGUGACGCUCAAGGAUGGGCUCAUGUCCUAUCAGCUUGUUGGNGAGGUAACGGCUCACCAAGGCAACGACGGGUAGCUGGUCUGAGAGGACGAUCAGCCACACUGGCACUGCGACACGGGCCAGACUCCUACGGGAGGCAGCAGUAAGGAAUAUUGCGCAAUGGGCGAAAAGCCUGACGCAGCGACGCCGCGUGGGGGAGUGAAGGUCUUCGGAUUGUAAACCACUGUCGGGAGGGACGAAUGCGCCGC
rnacentral:rRNA from 1 species